GCAUAUCAAUAAGCGGAGGAAAAGAAACUAACAAGGAUUCCCCUAGUAACGGCGAAGUGAAGAAGGGAAGAAGCCCAAGAUUGAAAGCUGGCGUCUUUGGCGUCCGCAUUGUAAUCUCAAGAAGUGUUUUCCGCUUCGGACCAUGCCUAAGUCCCUUGGAAAAGGGCAUCAUAGAGGGUGAUAAUCCCGUACAUGGCAUGGAGCGCCCGAAGCUUUGUGAUACGCUUUCUAAGAGUCGAGUUGUUUGGGAAUGCAGCUCAAAAUGGGUGGUAAAUGCCAUCUAAGGCUAAAUAUUGGGGAGAGACCGAUAGCGAACAAGUACAGUGAUGGAAAGAUGAAAAGAACUUUGAAAAGAGAGUUAAACAGUACGUGAAAUUGCCAAAAGGGAAGGGUAGGAGGUCAGAGAUGCGGUCUGGGAUUCAGCCUUGCUUUUGCUGGGUGUUUUUCUCAGAUUGCAGGCCAACGUCGGUUUUGGGCGCUGGAGAAGGGUGGAAGGAAUGUGGCACCUCUCGGGGUGUGUUAUAGCCUUCUACUGGAUACAGUGACCGAGACCGAGGACAGCAGCGUACUCGCAAGAGCGGGCCUUCGGGCACCUUUACGCUUAGGGCGUUGGCAUAAUGGCCCUCUACCACCCGUCUUGAAACACGGACCAAGGAGUCUAACAUGUAUGCGAGUCUUUGGGUGGCAAACCCAUAGGCGCAAUGAAAGUGAAUUCAGGUGGGAUCCGCAAGGUGCACCAUCGACCGAUCCUCACGUCUUUUUAAGUCGUGGAUUUGAGUAAGAGCAUACCUGUUGGGACCCGAAAGAUGGUGAACUAUGCCUGAAUAGGGUGAAGCCAGAGGAAACUCUGGUGGAGGCUCGUAGCGGUUCUGACGUGCAAAUCGAUCGUCAAAUUUGGGUAUAGGGGCGAAAGACUAAUCGAACCAUCUAGUAGCUGGUUCUGCG
rnacentral:rRNA from 1 species